UAUUUUUCAGGGACAGUGUUUCCAAAAAAUU
rfam:Alligator sinensis unplaced genomic scaffold scaffold131_1, whole genome shotgun sequence